CUUACACAUGCAAGUCGAACGGUAACAGGUCUUCGGACGCUGACGAGUGGCGAACGGGUGAGUAAUACAUCGGAACGUGCCCAGUCCCGGGGGAUAACUACUCGAAAGACUUGCUAAUACCGCAUACAAUCUGAAGAUGAAAGCGUGUGGACCUUCGGGCCUCGCGCGAUUGGAGCGGCCGAUGGCAGAUUAGGUAGUUGGUGGGAUAAAAGCUUACCGAGCCGACGAUCUGUAGCUGGUCUGAGAGGACGACCAGCCACACUGGGACUGACACACUGGCCACACUCCUACGGGAGGCACCCGUGGGGAAUUUUGGACAAUGGGCGAAAGCCUGAUCCAGCAAUGCCGCGUGCAGGAUGAAGGCCUUCGGGUUGUAAGCUGCUUUUGUACGGAACGAAUUAGCUUCUCCUAAUACGAGAGGCCCAUGACGGGACCGUAAGAAUAAGCACCGGCUAACUACGUGCCAACAGCCGCGGUAAUACCUAGGGUGCGAGCGUUAAUCGGAAUUACUGGGCGUUUAGCGUGCGCAGGCGGAUAUGUAGCACAGAUGUGAAAUCCCCGGGCUCUACCUGAGAACUGCAUUUGUGACUGCAUGGCUAUAGUACUGUAGAGGGCGAUGGAAUUCCGCGUGUAUCAGGGAAAUGCGUAGAUAUG
rnacentral:rRNA from 1 species